rnacentral:rRNA from 1 species
UACGGGGGGGGCAAGCGUUGUUCGGAAUUACUGGGCGUAAAGGGCUCGUAGGCGGCCAACUAAGUCGGAUGUGAAAUCCCCAGGCUUAACCUGGGAACUGCAUCCGAUACUGGAUGGCUUGAAUCCGGGAGAGGGAUGCAGAAUUCCAGGUGUAGCGGUGAAAUGCGUAGAUAUCUGGAGGAAUACCGGUGGCGAAGGCGGCAUCCUGGACCGGCAUUGACGCUGAGUGAGCGAAAGCUAGGGGAGCAAACAGG